rnacentral:rRNA from 1 species
AGUGAACGCUGGCGGUAGGCCUAACACAUGCAAGUCGAACGGCAGCACAGUAAGAGCUUGCUCUUACGGGUGGCGAGUGGCGGACGGGUGAGGAAUACAUCGGAAUCUACUUUUUCGUGGGGGAUAACGUAGGGAAACUUACGCUAAUACCGCAUACGACCUACGGGUGAAAGCAGGGGAUCUUCGGACCUUGCGCGAUUGAAUGAGCCGAUGUCGGAUUAGCUAGUUGGCGGGGUAAAGGCCCACCAAGGCGACGAUCCGUAGCUGGUCUGAGAGGGUGGUCAGCCACACUGGAACUGAGACACGGUCCAGACUCCUACGGGAGGCAGCAGUGGGGAAUAUUGGACAAUGGUCGCAAGCCUGAUCCAGCCAUACCGCGUGGGUGAAGAAGGCCUUCGGGUUGUAAAGCCCUUUUGUUGGGAAAGAAAAGCAGCAGGUUAAUACCCCGCUGUUCUGACGGUACCCAAAGAAUAAGCACCGGCUAACUUCGUG